AGUUGAACUCUUCUCAUGUUCCUCCAGCAGCCACAACUAAAGUACUGUAUCAGGACUGCCUUGGAACAUGAAACCAACUUACCGCUGUACUUUCCAUCUUGGAUGCUGAAGUUCUAGGGUAGGGUUGUCAGUAAAAUGCAGGACACCCAGUUAAAUUUAAAUUUCAAAUAAAUAAGAAAUAAUUUUUAGCCAUUAUUAUGGAGUUGUAGACCUGGUGUGGGGAGUAUGGGGAUCAACCUCAGAAGCCUCCAGAGAGAGAUUGGUGGACUCUAGGAGUGUCGAUCUCAGACUGACCAUCGCUGGGGCCACAUCCAAGCAGCAGCCCUUUGUCCAGAGCCAUUUCCUCCACUGGCCUCAGUUUCUGUAGGGCCCAGAUGGUGCUGAAGUCAGAUGCCAAGGGGAAAGUGACUUUACCCACGAGAGAGAUUU
rnacentral:lncRNA from 10 species